rnacentral:rRNA from 1 species
AUUGAACGCUGGCGGCAGGCCUAACACAUGCAAGUCGAGCGGCAGCGGAAAGUAGCUUGCUACUUUGCCGGCGAGCGGCGGACGGGUGAGUAAUGUCUGGGAAACUGCCUGAUGGAGGGGGAUAACUACUGGAAACGGUAGCUAAUACCGCAUAACGUCGCAAGACCAAAGAAGGGGACCUUCGGGCCUCUUGCCAUCAGAUGUGCCCAGAUGGGAUUAGCUAGUAGGUGGGGUAACGGCUCACCUAGGCGACGAUCCCUAGCUGGUCUGAGAGGAUGACCAGCCACACUGGAACUGAGACACGGUUCAGACUCCUACGGGAGGCAGCAGUGGGGAAUAUUGCACAAUGGGCGCAAGCCUGAUGCAGCCAUGCCGCGUGUAUGAAGAAGGCCUUAGGGUUGUAAAGUACUUUCAGCGGGGAGGAAGGUGUUGAGGUUAAUAACCUCAGCAAUUGACGUUACCCGCAGAAGAAGCACCGGCUAACUCCGUGCCAGCCGCCGCCGUAA